rnacentral:rRNA from 1 species
UAGGGAAUCUUCCACAAUGGACGCAAGUCUGAUGGAGCAACGCCGCGUGAGUGAAGAAGGUUUUCGGACCGUAAAGCUCUGUUGUUGGUGAAGAAGGAUAGAGGUAGUAACUGGCCUUUAUUUGACGGUAAUCAACCAGAAAGUCACGGCUAACUACGUGCCAGCAGCCGCGGUAAUACUAGGUGGCAAGCGUUGUCCGGAUUUAUUGGGCGUAAAGCGAGCGCAGGCGGAAGAAUAAGUCUGAUGUGAAAGCCCUCGGCUUAACCGAGGAAUUGCAUCGGAAACUGUUUUCUUGAGUGCAGAAGAGGAGAGUAGAACAUCCAUGUGUAGCGGUGGAAUGCGUAGAUAUAUGGAAGAAUACCAGUGGCGAAGGCGGCUCUCUGGUCUGCAACUGACGCUGAGGCUCGAAAAGCAUGGGUAGCGAACAGGAUUAGAUACCCUGGUAGUCCAUGCCGUA